GGCUCUCCUCCCUCCCUACCCCCAACCUAUUUUUAGCCUGCCUCUGUUUUCCUCCGUCUGGUUGGCAACCACUCGGGCCUCUUUCCCUCCGCUGCCCUUAUCUCUCCCCUGCAGCCUUGCAGACCCCAGCUGCCCUUCCACAGGUCUCAUUGCCCGCCCGAUUUAUUUUCAUUUUCUUCCAUCUUGAAGAUAUGUCGGGUCUGCCUGAAAGGGGAUGCCUGGCCACGCUCAAGCAGAAGAAAAGCCGGGAGAUAAUGCUGUUCCAUCUUCAUAAGGACCUGACAAUACACCUUAAUGGGAGACUGGGGGACUGAGCAUCUUUCCAGAACCAGAGAGAGGAUGAGAACCAGACAAAGAAUCCAGACAAAGAAUCCAGAGAAAAGGGGUGCAGUGCAUCAAGGGGAUAAGGACCCCCAAGGAUUCCUGGGGUCCUUGUGCCCCUCGUUGUACAAACAGACAUGCUCUCAAAGGUCCUGGCUACUCCGUGAUGAUAGAAUAUUUGAUUGACCAUCUAGAAGCAAAAAAGUAAUGGGAUUGAGGAGCUGGCCAGGGAAGAAGGUACAUUCAACCGUCUGGUGUUUAGGGGGGACUCUAAAAGCCGAAGAGGAUGACAUCCCACGGCCACUCCCUCCCCCCGC